rnacentral:rRNA from 1 species
CCUUCGGGGUCCGCAUUGUAAUUUGCAGAGGAUGUUUCGGGAGUGGCCCCCAUCUAAGUGUCCUGGAACGGACCGUCAUAGAGGGUGAGAAUCCCGUAUGGGAUGGGGUGCCCACGCCCGUGUGAAACUCCUUCGACGAGUCGAGUUGUUUGGGAAUGCAGCUCUAAAUGGGUGGUAAAUUUCAUCUAAAGCUAAAUAUUGGCCGGAGACCGAUAGCGCACAAGUAGAGUGAUCGAAAGAUGAAAAGCACUUUGAAAAGAGAGUUAAAAAGCACGUGAAAUUGUUGAAAGGGAAGCGUUUGCGAUCAGACUCGCCGACGGGGUUCAGCCUGCCUUCGGGCAGGUGUACUUCCCCGCCGGCGGGCCAGCGUCGGUUUGGGCGGCCGGUCAAAGGCCCUGGGAAUGUAACGCCUCUCGGGGCGUCUUAUAGCCCAGGGUGUCAUGCGGCCUGCCCGGACCGAGGAACGCGCUUCGGCUCGGACGCUGGCAUAAUGGUCGUAAACGACCCGUCUUGAAACACGGACCAAGGAGUCUAACAUCUAUGCGAGUGUUCGGGUGUCAAACCCGUGCGCGAAGUGAAAGCGAACGGAGGUGGGAACCCUUUGGGUGCACCAUCGACCGAUCCUGAUGUCUUCGGAUGGAUUUGAGUAAGAGCAUAGCUGUUGGGACCCGAAAGAUGGUGAACUAUGCCUGAAUAGGGCGAAGCCAGAGGAAACUCUGGUGGAGGCUCGCAGCGGUUCUGACGUGCAAAUCGAUCGUCAAAUUUGGGUAUAG